GGCUGGUCUGAGUGCAGCGGUGUUUACAAUUAAUUGAUCACAGCCAGUUACAGAGUUCUUUGUCCCUUCUCCACUCCCACAGCUUCACUGGACUAGCCUACA
ensembl:Y_RNA Y_RNA Y RNA